GUCAACAAGACAAACCUAAAACCUAAGCAGAAGACUUCCUAGAACCCCUACACUCGGGGUCCCAAACCUUGAUACCAAAAAGCAUCCCUGCUCUCCCAGGGUGGCACAUCGAUACCUUAUUAGGAAGCCUGUGGAAGGACCUCGGAACGCAAAAACUUGCCUGAGUUCCUGCUUCGGAAUCAUCUGUCUCCCUCCUGCCCCGCCCUUCGGUCCUGUGUUGGGCAGUAUGUGGACGCCGGAGGUGCCCACUCCUUUUAUACAGCUUUGCCCUCUUUUGUUAUCUGGGGUUAAAGUGGGAGUCUGUCGGCCCCUUCCCAGCAAGGGCUUUCUUUACCUCACCCAGCUCUCGCUUCAGUCUUCAGCUUAACUUGUAGCAACCUCCUCUGGUUUCCAGCCCAGGAAGACUUGAGAGGAGUCACGUGGCUAGUGUUUGACCAGUGAAAAGUCGACUUCCCCGAGGGGGUGUGUGAGGGGGAACUUUUGACCAAUAAAAAGCUGGACUUGAGCGCCCAGAGAGGGGAGAGAUCUACGCA